rnacentral:rRNA from 1 species
AUGACUCUCGGCAACGGAUAUCUCGGCUCUCGCAUCGAUGAAGAACGUAGCGAAAUGCGAUACUUGGUGUGAAUUGCAGAAUCCCGUGAACCAUCGAGUCUUUGAACGCAAGUUGCGCCCGAAACCAUUAGGCUGAGGGCACGUCUGCCUGGGUGUCACAC